UACGUAGGGUCCGAGCGUUGUCCGGAAUUAUUGGGCGUAAAGGGCUCGUAGGCGGUCUGUUGCGUCGGGAGUGAAAACUUACAGCUUAACUGUGAGCGUGCUUUCGAUACGGGCAGACUUGAGGCAUUCAGGGGAGAACGGAAUUCCUGGUGUAGCGGUGAAAUGCGCAGAUAUCGGGAAGAACACCCGUGGCUAAGGCGGCUCUCUAGUACGGUACUGACGCUGAGACGCGAAAGCGUGGGGAGCGAACAGG
rnacentral:rRNA from 1 species